UUCACGCAUUAAAACCCCACGGUUUCUCUAAACUCGAAUUUUAAACAUUCGACUUCAUCCGAGUGCAGCACGCCUAGCGUCAAACCGAGAAAACAUACGUUUAUAUAGAAUAUCCACCCCGGCCCACCAUCAAGAUGACGUCAACACGGGGGCCACUCGCAACACCCACAAUUGGCUCAAACGCGUCACGUGGUCACGCAAUAUCUGUCAAUUUCCUUCGUGAAAUGGCAUUUCUACGUUAAUAUGUUUUUGUUACAGAGCCUCAAGAAGAAAAAUAUACCCUGCAUUUAUCACCUGCAACAGUUUCUACGAUUUUCUUUUCAAUCUGUACACGGCGUUCGAUAUAUGCUUCCGUAUCCGGUCAGCUGUAAUGGAUGCCGUAUGCCGAGCUUGCUAACUGCGAACUUGUGUGACUCCCGGUUCAUCCUCUUUGUUCAGGUCAUUGGGUUGGUGUUGGAGUUGGUCACCAUAUUCUGAACGUUUCACCUAUCGUUGCGGUGUACUGUUCUUGAUCUGCUGCGAAGCGACGAACCGCAACGGCAGUCACUCGCCUCAGCGAACUUCUGUCUGCUGCAUCUCAAAGGAGCAUGGGGACCUGAUGAUACCUUCAACUAAAAAAACCAAAUGUGCUCUCGUGUGGUCCUGACGGAAAAGUAGUAUCAACAAGAACCCUCCACUUUUUCGACCAAGAUAUGGUUAUGAGAUCCUUCUGAUGGCUUCUUACUAGGCUAUGCCGCUCCGAAGCAUUGAGAUGACGAAGCGUCGUGGUAGCUGCACCUCUGCCUUCGAAAGAUGAAUCAGUCAUUCCACACUGUGCUUACUGGCUUUGUAUAGAGUCUGGCAAAUCCGACAGACUUGGACUGCCUUUUUCAAGAAAGUUUGAAAUAGCAUCCCUUAUGCACCUG